UCAAAUCCAAGAUUGUUAGGUUGAAAAGUCUAGAAACUAAGCUUUUCGCCACCGAGCUACACUGCUUCCUAUAAAAACAACUGCAUGUGUAUCCUCAAGGGAAAUGUACAAAAACCCCAUCUUUCUCCACAUGAAACUCACUGUGGUGCUUCCUUGGCCAAGCUCUGAAACAUUGCACCACAUACUCCUAUUUCAGGGGAAAAAAAGACAUUGAUUGCUUGGUUUUAUUACAUUAGGGUAUGUGUCACAGGUGCAGCCAGAAAAAAAAAUCUCACAUCUCAGUGAAAUCAAUAUGUAAGGUGGUCCUACAAAGUAACCUCUUCCAUUUUUGUCUAAGGUAUUUCAGCAUUGUUAUGAUGCUCUGUGUAAUUCUCUUUAAAUUUGUUCAGGCUUUCUAAUCUUCCUUAGUUCUCCAUUUGUACCACUUAUUCCACUUUUGGGUCCUCAAAUAAUUAAAUUAUCAAAACUAGAGAGCACAAUCAUCAAGGACUACAAAGGAGGUCCUCAAUUACUUCAACUUCCAAAAGAAGUGUCAAAGUGAAAGGAUAAAAAGUAAUGAAACCUCUAAUGAAAUCUAUUGGAACAAACUGCAGAUAGCCACUUAGAGUAAUUAUUAUUAGGAAUUUAGAAUUCUAAUAUUUUGGUUGCUGGUAACUUAUGCUACAUGAUUAGUGUAGAUAUUCAGGAAAUAGAGGCUCCUUGUCAGUAAUGGACACCUAAGCUUCCUCCUCUUGCUUUACCACUCCACUCUAGAUCAGAGGUGAUGGGAGGAUCAGAACUGGGAGCCAUCCAGAAAGAAGCAAUUGCAGGAGAUCCGUGGGCAUUGUAAGGAAAACAGGAAUGUAACUAAUUCCUAAUUCUAUAUUAAACUUCUAGAGGAGCCCCAUUAAGAAUUCUCUAUACUCUAAACCCUACUCCUUUAUUUUUGUUACUGAUCAGGUACUUCUGGGCUAUGCCAAUUUUGAUGCUUGAAUACCUGUGAGUGGGCAAAAAGCUCUUCUAAUCUAAAAGUGCAGCCAGGAAAGGCAUCAAACACGAGAACAACCUCCUGUCUAUUCUGGCCCCCUCUCCCAUUCGUCUACUUUUGAUAGAGGAAGUAUUUACUGUAAAACAGCAGAAUUUUCCUCAGCCGAUCCCUCCCUAAGCACAUCUCCUCUCCCCCCAAACUCCCCAGCACACCUUUUUUUAAAAAUUUUUCCUAGUCAACUUUUGGACUCUUUAUACUAGCCAUAUGGUUGCUAACGCCAUCACUUCAACUCUGUCCCUGUCCAUUUUAAAUUCGUAUUCCACACAAGUAAAAUCUAGUCGAUCUCAGCAAGGGUCUAAAAUGUAGAAUUAUGCCUGUUAAUUCUGCCUCCGUCAAGAAGCACCCAUACAGAAAAACAAAACAAAACAAAACAAAACCCAAAGUGGCCCUUCUCGGUCCCAGCCCGGAGCACUUGGUUUCCCAGCAAAAGACACUGGGUUCAGCCCCAGUCGGAAACUCCCAGCCUCACUGGGUGAAAACGGGGUUUUCCGGAGACCUGUCCCUCUGGGGUUUAAAAGCGUGUCCCGUGGGAGCUUCGCUUUCACUUCUCUAAGGACUUGGAGCUGCAAGAGCCCACAUCCUCGCAGAUCCCGGGGCGCCGGAACACCAUGAACCCAUUGUAGUGAAGCAGAAGGAGCAAGGUGAAGCAAUGAGGAGGUCAGAGAGGCAAUGAUGGAACCAGAGGAGUCAGUCCAAUGGAAAGAACAUGCAUUUCCUACCUGCUAUCAUCAUUGUUCCUAAUGUAACUCAAAUCUCUAGAAUGAGGAAGCACUUAGCCUGGUCUCUGUAUGAAAUAAUCUUGUACUAAAAUCAGAAGUUCUGUCAUUUCUGAGAAAAAUGUGAUGGUCUCUACAAACUUCCAGCAAUGCAGGUUAGGAAGCAGAGCAUCAAUUCUAUGAAUGCCACCAAUCAGGCAAUCUAAAAUUGGUAAGAUUAAUAUGCAAGUCACAUGGGGCUUUUUGGAAGUGGCUCUUGGACUCUGUCAAAAGGGUGACUUUCUCUUACUUGAAAACACAGGAAGCAGAGUUUGGUGCCUCAAGUCCAAGUCAGAUGGUUUCAGCGGUGUGCUGUGUUCUUCUGUGACAGGCCAGAUCUUGGAGACAUUUUGUUUGAUUAUGAAUGAGGAACUAGAAAUUGUAACACUGGCCAGGGAUGUAUUCUGCAUAGAUCAUACCAAUGAAUACACUGUCCACCUCAUACUUAAGAUAGUGUAUGUUAAGUGAUGAGAGAACAGACAUUUCUGCAUCUUGCUUUUGUGUCUCUGGAUAUGUUCCAGUGACUUCUAGUUUACAGUCUAUGGGAACUUGAAUAGAAUUUGUUUCCUACUGUUGUGUGAAAACUGUAUAAAUCUUAAUUAUGUUGAAUUGAUUCACAGUGCUUUUCAGGUCUACUACAUCCUUCUACUUCUCUGCAUAUUUAUUCUAUUAAUUUUUGGGAGUCUGAUAUUGAAACUCCAACUAAAAAUCUUAAUUUAUCUGCUUAAAAAUAAUUGUAAUAUACAGUGAAACUCUAUGUAACCUUGUUCUGUAUUUUCCAACUUUCCUGUAAAUGUGUUAUCAUACU